rnacentral:rRNA from 1 species
UGCCAGCCGCCGCGGUAACACAUAGGGGUCAAGCGUUGUCCGGAUUUAUUGGGCGUAAAGAGCUCGUAGGCGGUUUGGCAAGUCAGAUGUGAAAGCCCUGGGCUCAACCUGGGAACUGCAUUCGAUACUGCCAGACUAGAGUAUGUUAGAGGAAGGUGGAAUUCCAGGUGUAGCGGUGAAAUGCGUAGAUAUCUGGAGGAACAUCAGUGGCGAAGGCGACCUUCUGGGACAAUACUGACGCUGAGGUGCGAAAGCGUGGGGAGCAAACAGGAUUAGAUA